UAUAUUUUGGCAUUUGUUGUACUGUCAAAAUAUGUAAUCUUUAUAUAAUUUCACAAUACAUGUGGUUGAAAUACGUUUAUAAAAACUAAAGAAAUUAGAGCGCUAAAUAAGCUUGUAUGGCUAUCAUGGUUUUGUGUGGUACAUAUAAGAUAUUAACAAAUGUUGGUUGAACUCCUAUGUCCUAAUUGACUAUGUUAACUUAUCAAAUUUAAUGAAUUGGACUAUGUUAACUUAUCAAAUUUAAUGAAUUG
rnacentral:misc_RNA from 1 species